CGAACGCUGGCGGCACGUUUUAAGCAUGCAAGUCGAGGGGUAACAGGGGUUUCGGCCCGCUGACGACCGGCGGACGGGUGAGUAACACGUAGAUAAUUUGCCUUCGGGUUGGGGAUAGCUCAUGGAAACAUGGGGUAAUACCGAAUGAAUCUUUUUAUCGCAAGAUAAUAAGUGAAAGGUGCUGCGGCACCGCCUGAAGAUAAGUCUGCGGCUGAUUAGCUAGUUGGUGGGGUAAAGGCCUACCAAGGCGACGAUCAGUAGCCGGCCUGAGAGGGUGAUCGGCCACACUGGGACUGAGAUACGGCCCAGACUCCUACGGGAGGCAGCAGCUAAGAAUCUUCCGCAAUGGACGAAAGUCUGACGGAGCGAUGCCGCGUGGAUGAAGAAGGCGGAAACGUUGUAAAGUCCUUUUCCCUGGGAAGAAUAAUCGUAGUAGGGAAUGACUACGAGAUGACAUCAACAGGGGAAUAAGCUCCGGCUAAUUCC
rnacentral:rRNA from 1 species